GAAUUUUAUAUAAAGUUAUUUUUAGUUAGUUUUAGUUUAAAUAAUUUUAUAUUUCGUUGGGAGGAUUAUUAAAUUUAUAAAACUUUAGUAUAAUUUUUAAAACUAAGAUUAAUGGAUAGAAAAGAUUGGUUUAAAUAUUAAAUAAGAUUAAAUUACCUUAGGGAUAACAGCAUAAUAUUUUUAGACAGAUCAUAUUAUAAUAAAAAUAUUAUUGC
rnacentral:rRNA from 1 species